AGCUCCAAUAGCGUAUAUUAAAGUUGUUGCGGUUAAAAAGCUCGUAGUUGGAUUUCUGCGGGAGACGAACGGUCUACCUUACGGGUAAGUAUCUGUCAGGCUCCUGCAUCCUCAACGGGAACGUCGCUGCGAUUCAUUUCGUGGUACGGUACCGUUGACUUUUACUUUGAGGAAAUUAGAGUGUUCACGGCAGGCAAUCGCGUGUAUACAUUAGCAUGGAAUAAUAACAUAGGACAUUCGGCCUAUUUUGUUGGUUUCUAGACUGAAUGUAAUGAUAAAUAGGGACAGUUUGGGGGCAUUUGUACUAACGCGUCAGAGGUGGAAUUCUUGGAUUGCGUUAUGACAAACUACUGCGAAAGCAUUUGCCAAGGAUGUUUUCA
rnacentral:rRNA from 1 species